GACGAACGCUGGCGGCAUGCCUAAUACAUGCAAGUCGAGCGAACAGAUGAAGUGCUUGCACUUCUGACGUUAGCGGCGAACGGGUGAGUAACACGUAAGGAAUCUACCUAUAAGCGGGGGAUAACAUUCGGAAACGGGUGCUAAUACCGCAUAAUAUCUUCUUCCGCAUGGAAGGAGAUUGAAAGACGGCUCUGCUGUCACUUCUAGAUGACCUUGCGGUGCAUUAGUUAGUUGGUGGGGUAACGGCCUACCAAGACGAUGAUGCAUAGCCGACCUGAGAGGGUGAUCGGCCACAUUGGGACUGAGACACGGCCCAAACUCCUACGGGAGGCAGCAGUAGGGAAUCUUCCGCAAUGGGCGAAAGCCUGACGGAGCAAUGCCGCGUGAGUGAAGAAGGCCUUCGGGUCGUAAAACUCUGUUAUAAGAGAAGAACAAAUUGUAGAGUAACUGCUACAGUCUUGACGGUAUCUUAUCAGAAAGCCACGGCUAACUACGUGCCAGCAGCCGCGGUAA
rnacentral:rRNA from 1 species